AGGUUGCAAGUCAUAUAACCUGAGCAUGCCCAGAUGAACCAAGUAUGCCUGAUUGGUGAACCUGGAACUGGCCAGAACAGAAAAUGUCAACCACAUGUGGAAUCUAAGUAUUCAGAUUGAGAAAUGAGGACCAAAAUGAGAACACUGAGCUCCUCACACAGGUGACUGAACCCGUGGUUUUGGUGUCUGAGAAGAUGCAGCUUCUCCAGUCUCUGCAACUGACGGCAGGAAGAUGGGAGCACUCAGCUUCAGUGUUCAGAAGCAGAUUUAGGCCAAUUGCCAUACCUUACGUUCUGGAGGGAUCCACCCUGACCUGAGCAGGUGAGGUCACAGAAAGGCUUGCUGUCCAUCACAGGGACAGGAUUACAGCCUGCUCAGAAGCAUGUUGUGGUCCAGCUCUUGUGUCACUUAAAAAGACUCCAGCUCUUCUCUAAUAUUGAAUUCAACUAAUAUCACAGAGAGAUGUUCUUAAUCUUCUAGACAAACACACUGCCAUCAGUAUUCCCC
rnacentral:lncRNA from 10 species